AUCCUCUCAGGCCUAUUGGCUAAGAUCAAGUGUAGUAUCUGUUCUUUUCAGUGUGACAACUGAAACGAGGUAUCUUGUACCUCUUGUUGUCUUACUUAUUUUUGAAACUCGCUUGAAUUUCUUAGCUUGCUAAGAGUUCAAGCAUCGGUGUUCCUAGUAUUGCACUACCUCUAGGUUACGCCAAGAACCU
rnacentral:snRNA from 1 species